GAGAGAGAGAGAGAGAGAGAGAGAGAGAGAGAUCUCUAUAGAUAGAUAGAUAGAUAGAUAUAUAGAGAGAGAUCUCUAUAGAUUUAGAUAUAGAUUUCUCUCCAUAUAGAUCUCUCUCUCUCUCUCUCUAUCUUUAUAUAU